rnacentral:rRNA from 1 species
CCUACGGGUGGCAGCAGUGGGGAAUAUUGGACAAUGGGGGGAACCCUGAUCCAGCCAUGCCGCGUGUGUGAAGAAGGCCCUCGGGUUGUAAAGCACUUUCAGUGAGGAAGAACGCCUGGUGGUUAAUACCCAUCAGGAAAGACAUCACUCACAGAAGAAGCACCGGCUAACUCCGUGCCAGCAGCCGCGGUAAUACGGAGGGUGCGAGCGUUAAUCGGAAUUACUGGGCGUAAAGCGCGCGUAGGUGGCUUGAUAAGCCGGUUGUGAAAGCCCCGGGCUCAACCUGGGAACGGCAUCCGGAACUGUCAAGCUAGAGUGCAGGAGAGGAAGGUAGAAUUCCCGGUGUAGCGGUGAAAUGCGUAGAGAUCGGGAGGAAUACCAGUGGCGAAGGCGGCCUUCUGGACUGACACUGACACUGAGGUGCGAAAGCGUGGGUAGCAAACAUGAUUAGAUACCCUAGUAGUC